UCUUCUGUAGUCAAUUUCAUAGCAAUGGAUUACCUUGACAACAGCUGCCUGAACUGAAAACUGGAAGAGAAAGAAUUCAGGCAUGAAGAAAGUUCAGGAACAGAAGAGGGACGGCCAGCAAGCAGAGACCUGAAAUGUCCACAUUAGGUCUGGUCUCCUUCUCUGACUGCCCAUUUGGAGCUGCACAUCUUCCAGGAUUAGCUUUAUCUGAAGGGAGCGUAGUUUACAACACAGGGACCACCUUACAGUGCCAGUAAGAGCCCAACUGUGGGCAGGGACCCAGAGGGCUGCUGCUGAAAUUCCCCUGUUAACUACAGCAUCAGUGCGGACACCUCCUCAGAAAAGUGAAGAUGGCAUCUUAGGUAUUGGAAGAGAACUGCAAAAUGUAAAGACACAUGAAGGUAAAAGCAAUCUUCGGUGUUGGUGGUGAGUAUGUGUGGAAGUGAUCUGGAAUGGAUUCUGGAAAACACAAAUCAAGAAAUCAGAUGUGGAGGAGAGAUCUCUGUUUCAACAGGAAUUGUGACAGCUCCCUACCAUUCAGAUCCAGCACAGUCAUGAUGAAAAGAUGAAUACUGACGCUUUCAAUGUGGAAAUCCAAUUCCUGCAGUAGUAAUCCCCAUUUAUGUAUCAUCAUAUGUAUGAAGUUUGCCAUUGUCUUCUAUACUCUUUUGCUGCUAGACUAAUAGUCUUGACUAGAAUUUCUUCAUAAAUAGGUUUGAAUUUUCAAACCAUCACCCCAUGCAUCUUAAUACUUGGAAGAAAUAAAGAAGUUUCUCACCUCCUACACACUAUUUUGUAAUUGUUACCGCUGUGCCAACAGAUCCAUUUUAAGGACUAAUCCAGACUAUUAGUCCUGACACAUAGAGCACAUCAUAAUCUAAGCUAUGACAAUUUGACUGAUUGUUUCUUAGUUUUCUCCCCAAAUGUGAUGCUAUCAGGAUCUGGUGAUUAGAAUUUUCCCUUCACAAGUACUAUGGAUUUGGGAACAAGACUCUCACAUGCCAAACUUUUUCUUCAGCCACUGGGUUAAUUCCCACAGUAGUCAUUGAUAUAUGUUUACUACACAUAUGCUUGGUACUAGUUCAUAAAACUGAUGAAAUUUUUCUUUAAAAACUAAGAACGAGAGUAUCAUCAAGUCUGCAGGAAACUCUAUCUACCUGAAGAAAUCCACCCCAGCUAAACAUGCUUCAUUCUUUCCAGCUGUAUUAUUUUAUAUUCCCUUUUUCCUCUAACAAUACACCCAGUAUUUAAGAGUCAACAGAGCUGUUUUGCAGCAUGUGCAAGAAUACUUGUGUUAGAACUGUAGAAGUUCAGCAUUUCAGUAUCAUCAUAAAUGUUGGUUUUUAUCAUUGCUGACAUGAACAAAUGAAGCACUAAACUUCUCAUCCUUAUUUAUAUUAAUCAAAUUGUCAGUCUGGAGUGCUUAUCCUAUCUUACUUGAAUUAUAGGUCUCAUAAUUUUAUCUGUCUACAAAAUAAGACCUCACAGUAUUAAAACAGAGCUGAAAGUCAACUGGAUACAUUUAUUAAAUUACUCAAGAUAUUUUGUAUCUUUUG
rnacentral:lncRNA from 7 species